ACGGCUCAGUAACACGUAGUCAACAUGCCCAGGGGACGUGGAUAACCUCGGGAAACUGAGGAUAAACCGCGAUAAGUCACUACUUCUGGAAUGGGUAAUGACUAAAAUCUACAUGGCCCCUGGAUUGGACUGCGGCCGAUCAGGCUGUUGGUGAGGUAAUGGCCCACCAAACCUGUAACCGGUACGGGCUCUGAGAGGAGGAGCCCGGAGAUGGGCACUGAGACAAGGGCCCAGGCCCUAUGGGGCGCAGCAGGCGCGAAACCUCUGCAAUAGGCGAAAGCCUGACAGGGUUACUCUGAGUGAUUUCCGUUAAGGAGAUCUUUUGGCACCUCUAAAAAUGGUGCAGAAUAAGGGGUGGGCAAGUCUGGUGUCAGCCGCCGCGGUAAUACCAGCACCCCGAGUGGUCGGGACGUUUAUUGGGCCUAAAGCAUCCGUAGCCGGUUCUACAAGUCUUCCGUUAAAUCCACCUGCUUAACAGAUGGGCUGCGGAAGAUACUAUAGAGCUAGGAGGCGGGAGAGGCAAGCGGUACUCGAUGGGUAGGGGUAAAAUCCGUUGAUCCACUGAAGACCACCAGUGGCGAAGGCAGCUUGCCAGAACGCGCUCGACGGUGAGGGAUGAAAGCUGGGGGAGCAAACCGGAUUAGAUACCCGGGUAGUCCCAGCUGUAAACGAUGCAGACUCGGUGAUGAGUUGGCUUCUUGCCAACUCAGUGCCGCAGGGAAGCCGUUAAGUUUGCCGCCCGGGGAGUACGGUCGCAAGACUGAAACUUAAAGGAAUUGGCGGGGGAGCAC
rnacentral:rRNA from 1 species